GAUGAACGCUGGCGGCGUGCCUAAUACAUGCAAGUCGAGCGAACAGACGAGGAGCUUGCUCCUCUGACGUUAGCGGCGGACGUGUGAGUAACACGUGUAUAACCUACCUAUAAUACUGGGAUCACUUCGGGAAACCGGAGCUAAUACCGGAUAAUAUAUUGAACCGCAUGGUUCAAUAGUGAAAGACGGUUUUGCUGUCACUUAUAGAUGGAUCCGCGCCUCAUUAGCUAGUUGGUAAGGUAACGGCUUACCAAGGCAACGAUGCGUAGCCGACAUGAGAGGGUGAUCGGCCACACUGGAACUGAGACACGGUCCAGAGGCCUACGGGAGGCAGCAGUAGGGAAUCUUACGCAAUGGGCGAAAGCCUGACGGAGCAACGCGGCGUGAGUGAUGAAGGUCUUCGGAUCGUAAAACUCUGUUAUUAGGGAAGAACAAAUGUGGAAGUAAAUAUGCACGUCUUGACGGUACCUAAUCAGAAAGCCACGGCUAACUACGUG
rnacentral:rRNA from 1 species